ACGAACGCUGGCGGCGUGCUUAACACAUGCACAGUCGAACGCGCAGCAGUUUGUAGCAAUACAGAUGGCGCACGGCGCACGGGUGCGUAACACGUGGGCAAUCUGCCCUCGGAUGGGGGAUAACUCGUCGAAAGGCGAGCUAAUACCGCAUGACAUUCCGAAGACUCCGGUCUUUGGACUCAAAGGCCGCAAGGCCGUCUGAGGAGGAGCCCGCGCCCGAUUAGCUAGUUGGUGAGGUAACGGCUCACCAAGGCUUUGAUCGGUAGCCGGUCUGAGAGGAUGGCCGGCCACACUGGAACUGAGACACGGUCCAGACUCCUAUGGGAGGCAGCAGUGG
rnacentral:rRNA from 1 species